UACGGGGGGGGUAAGCGUUGUUCGGAAUUACUGGGCGUAAAGGGCUCGUAGGUGGCCAACUAAGUCGGACGUGAAAUCCCUCGGCUUAACCGGGGAACUGCGUCCGAUACUGGUUGGCUUGAGUUUGGGAGAGGGAUGCGGAAUUCCAGGUGUAGCGGUGAAAUGCGUAGAUAUCCGGAGGAACACCGGUGGCGAAGGCGGCUUCCUGGACCGACACUGACGCUGAGGCGCGAAAGCUAGGGGAGCAAACGGG
rnacentral:rRNA from 1 species